AUACGUUAGCCGACCUGAGAGGGUAAUCGGCCACAUUGGGACUGAGACACGGCCCAAACUCCUACGGGAGGCAGCAGUAGGGAAUCUUCCACAAUGGACGAAAGUCUGAUGGAGCAACGCCGCGUGAGUGAAGAAGGUUUUAGGAUCGUAAAACUCUGUUGUUGGAGAAAGAACAGGGACUAGAGUAACUGUUAGUCCUUUGACGGUAUCCAACCAGAAAGCCACGGCUAACUACGUGCCAGCAGCCGCGGUAAUACGUAGGUGGCAAGCGUUGUCCCGGAUUUAUUGGGCGUAAAGCGAGCGCAGGCGGUUUUUUAAGUCUGAUGUGAAAGCCUUCGGCUUAACCGAAGAAGUGCAUUAGAAACUGGGAAACUUGAGUGCAGAAGAGGACAGUGGAACUCCAUGUGUAGCGGUGAAAUGCGUAGAUAUAUGGAAGAACACCAGUGGCGAAGGCGGCUGUCUGGUCUGUAACUGACGCUGAGGCUCGAAAGUAUGGGGAGCGAACAGGAUUAGAUACCCUGGUAGUCCAUACCGUAAACGAUGAAUGCUAAGUGUUGGAGGGUUUCCGCCCUUCAGUGCUGCAGCUAACGCAUUAAGCAUUCCGCCUGGGGAGUACGACCGCAAGGUUGAAACUCAAAGGAAUUGACGGGGGCCCGCACAAGCGGUGGAGCAUGUGGUUUAAUUCGAAGCAACGCGAAGAACCCUUACCAGGUCUUGACAUCCUUUGACCACUGUAGAGAUACAGCUUUCCCUUCGGGGACAAAGUGACAGGUGGUGCAUGGUUGUCGUCAGCUCGUGUCGUGAGAUGUUGGGUUAAGUCCCGCAACGAGCGCAACCCUUAUGACUAGUUGCCAGCAUUUAGUUGGGCACUCUAGUAAGACUGCCGGUGACAAACCGGAGGAAGGUGGGGAUGGAACGUCAAAUCAGCCAUGCCCCUUAU
rnacentral:rRNA from 1 species